rnacentral:rRNA from 1 species
CUAGUGCGGACGGGUGAGUAACACGUUGGUAAACCUGACCCCAAAGUGAGGAAUAAGCCACCGAAAGGUGGUCUAAUACUUCAUAAUAUCCAUCUCGUAUGGAUUAAAGCUUUAUGCGCUUUGGGAGGGCCUGCGUAACAUUAGCUUGUUGGUGAGGUAAAGCUCACCAAGGCUUCGAUGUUUAACUGGUUUGAGAGGAUGACCAGUCACACUGGGACUGAGGUACGGCCAGACUCCUACGGGAGGCAGCAGUAAGGAAUCUUCCACAAUGGGGCAACCCUGAUGGAGCAAUACCGCGUGCAGGAUGAAGCGUUUCGGCGUGUAAACUGCUUUUAUCACCGAAGAUUAUGACUGUAGGUGAAGAAUAAGGACCGGCUAACUACGUG